UUUCUUAGUCAGGGCUGCACUUAUUUCAAGUAGCAGCAGCAGCUAUAAUCUGUGCCAGCCAGAGGACUUCACUUCGCUUAUGUUCAGUGCUUCAUGUGUGGUGGGUUGGCUGCACAGCAGUCAUCAGCAUAAAACCCUUCUUUGCUGGAACUGCACUUCAGUAAAACAUAAUGCUCUUUACAUGAGUGGCACGUACGGAGGAGCAGCAGAUAUUUGGAGUUCCAACAGAACAAUCCGCUGCUACUAUGGUAAAAUGAGGAAACUGGAAACAAGUUGAAGGAAUGACAGCUGGCUGGAAACAACACUGGAAGCAAGAUAUAUUAUGUUAACAGUUCUUCCUUUUGUCUUUGAAGUGUGUACCAAGAUGCUCUGAUCUGAGGAGACAUUGCACGUAUUGCUGCUUGUACUUUCAGUGACCCCAUUAGGAUUAAACAGUAUGAACACAGUGUGUGCUUCACAAAACUAGCCACAGCAUCAAUAAAUAGGCCAAACAUAGUAUUCA
rnacentral:lncRNA from 1 species